rnacentral:rRNA from 1 species
CCUACGGGUGGCAGCAGUGAGGAAUAUUGGUCAAUGGCCGGGAGGCUGAACCAGCCAAGUCGCGUGAGGGAAGACGGCCCUACGGGUUGUAAACCUCUUUUGUCAGGGAACAAAGGCGGGACGCGUCCCCGGAUGAGUGUACCUGAAGAAAAAGCAUCGGCUAACUCCGUGCCAGCAGCCGCGGUAAUACGGAGGAUGCGAGCGUUAUCCGGAUUUAUUGGGUUAAAGGGGUGCGCAGGCGGUCUGUUAGGUCAGCGGUCAAAGCCCGGGGCUCAACCCCGGCCUGCCGUUGAAACUGGCAGUCUCGAGUUGGAGAGAAGUAUGCGGAAUGCGCGGUGUAGCGGUGAAAUGCAUAGAUAUCGCGCAGAACUCCGAUGGCGAAGGCAGCAUGCCGGCUCCACACUGACGCUGAGGCACGAAAGCGUGGGUAUCGAACAGGAUUAGAUACCCUAGUAGUC